rnacentral:rRNA from 1 species
GUGUCAGCAGCCGCGGUAAGACAGAGGGUGCAAACGUUGCUCGGAUUUACUGGGCGUAAAGCGCGUGUAGGCGGAUUGGCAAGUCAGAUGUGAAAUCCCUGGGCUCAACCCAGGAACUGCACCUGAAACUGCCUAUCUGGAGUAGUGGAGAGGAAAGCGGAAUUCCUGGUGUAGAGGUGAAAUUCGUAGAUAUCAGGAGGAACACCGGUGGCGAAGGCGGCUUUCUGGACAUUUACUGACGCUGAGACGCGAAAGCGUGGGGAGCAAACAGGAUUAGAUACCCCCGUAGUCC